AGAGUUUUAGCAGGGGCAGCUCCGUCGGGCUUUGCCCACGGUUUCUGGCUCACUCACUGUUCCUCUUGCACUAAUUUGGCCACAGCAGUACUCAGAAUCAAAUUUCGAACCGGUAAGAAAAUUUUUUACAUUUUUUGGCAGUCGACCUCCUUCUCCGGCUUCCAAUUUUUCUUCUCCGGCAGGGGUUAGCGGCUAGGGUUUAGGUUCACGUGUGAUGUGAAGUAUUUAUAACCAUUUCGCGUUGAUCUGG
rnacentral:lncRNA from 1 species